UGAGGAAUAUUGGUCAAUGGGCGAGAGCCUGAACCAGCCAAGUAGCGUGAAGGAUGACUGCCCUAUGGGUUGUAAACUUCUUUUAUAAAGGAAUAAAGUCGGGUAUGGAUACCCGUUUGCAUGUACUUUAUGAAUAAGGAUCGGCUAACUCCGUGCCAGCAGCCGCGGUAAUACGGAGGAUCCGAGCGUUAUCCGGAUUUAUUGGGUUUAAAGGGAGCGUAGAUGGAAGUUUAACUCAGUUGUGAAAGUUUGCGUCGCAACCGAAAAAUUGCAGUUGAUACUGUAUAUCUUGCGUGCAGUUGAGGCAGGCGGAAUUGGUGGUGUAGCGGUGAAAUGCUUAGAUAUCACGAAGAACUCCGAUUGCGAAGGCAGCCUGCUAAGCUGCAACUGACAUUGAGUCUCGAAAGUGUGGGUAUCAAACAGG
rnacentral:rRNA from 1 species